CUGCGUCCUUGUGUCUCCUAAAAUGCAUGAUGGCAAGCUAUAAGCAUGUUUCCUAGGAAUAUCCAUAUUAUCUCUUUGAGGUAAAGACAUUACUUCACUUAUAUCUGAUGAAUAAUACAAGAGGCCUGGCAUAUCUUCAGAGGUGGGACUCCACAGUGUCUCUGCUUUUUUUAUUUGUCUCGAUUUCUACAUUUUAAGUGUUUUUAAGCAUUUUUUUUAUUUCAUAAGCAUUAAACCUGUUUCAUUUUUAACAUGCAGUUCUAAGAAUAAGUGAAACAGCGUUCUCUUUCCCCUUGUUAGAAAAUUAUUUUACAUGUGCCUUAACUCUGUAUGUUCAGCAGGUCUUCCCCUCCAUCUCAGAAUCUCCUAUCUCUUUCCUAGAUCAAGGUCCUGCCCACCUGAAAAUCCAGAGCAUCCAGCAUCUGGAUCACCACUUUGAAGAGGGCAAAGAAAUGCAUGUGCUAUCCAUGACUGCCAGUGUUCUCACUGGCUCCUUUAGCCCAGGCAGCCUUGCUGCUCCCUACCUUCCAGUGUCUGAGAGUGCUUACCCCACUGAGCCACCAUAAAAAACACCCUCCAGCCACAAACGGCGAGAGAGAAAUGUGCAGCAGCUGCAUAGCCAAGAAAACCCAUGCUGUUUCCUGAUGGUGUGAAGCACUUGCUCCCUUUUCCUUCUGUGGAUGUACAGCACUAACAGAGACUGAGGUGAGUGGCCAGAAAUGACCUACCACGAAAAUUGCACAGCCUAAGCUCUGUUAUUUCACCAUGCCAAUUUAAAAAGUAGGUUGUGAUAGUAAGAGCAUUUAAAUGUAUUUCGGGUUACAUUUUAGCCUCUGCAUUUUUAUUCAUUAUGUGAUGCAGUCUGACUCAUGCUCUUAUGCAAGUCAUUUAAUGCAGAGCUGUAAGGGUCACUGUGUUUUCAUUAAAACGUAACGCUUUCUGUCCCAGAGGGAUUGGCUUGAAUUUGAAGAAUAGGGACGUGCAACUUCAAAUUGGUCUCUCCUUUGUG
rnacentral:lncRNA from 1 species